GUAAGUUUUUAUGUUGUGGCCUUUUUUGUAGUAGAAAAAUACAGCGACUCUAUUGGCUUACAAAAGUUUGAUAUUUAAACUAAAUCUAAAGAAAACCAAUUAACAACCGUUACUCAUUCUCAUAACUCAUUUCUACCAAGUUCCUCUCAAUCUCUCUUUCAAGAUGUGUUGCGGACCUUGUGGUGGAUGCUGUGGACCCUGCGGCGGUUGCUGCGGACCAUGCUACUCCUGCUGCGGACCCUGUUAUUCCUGCUGUGGUCCAUGCUACUCGUGCUGUGGCCCCUGUGGUGGCUGCUGUGGUGGAUGUGGACCCUGUUGCUAAAAAGAACCGAAGAAACUAAUCUACAAAAAAAAAUAAGCAUGAAAGGAACAACAAACUCUUGUCAAUUUUCGCUUUACUCAUUAAAUAAAGGAUAGGUCUACAAACAUG
rnacentral:sRNA from 1 species